UACGGAGGAUGCGAGCGUUAUCCGGAUUUAUUGGGUUUAAAGGGUGCGUAGGUGGCUAUUUAAGUCAGUGGUGAAAGUUUGUCGCUCAACGAUAAAAUUGCCAUUGAAACUGGAUAGCUUGAGUAUGUUUGAGGUAGGCGGAAUGCGUAGUGUAGCGGUGAAAUGCAUAGAUAUUACGCAGAACUCCAAUUGCGAAGGCAGCUUACUAAACCAUAACUGACACUGAAGCACGAAAGCGUGGGUAUCAAACAGG
rnacentral:rRNA from 1 species